GACGAACGCUGGCGGCGUGCUUAACACAUGCAAGUCGAACGGAAAGGCCCUGCUUGCAGGGUACUCGAGUGGCGAACGGGUGAGUAACACGUGGGUGAUCUGCCCUGCACUUCGGGAUAAGCCUGGGAAACUGGGUCUAAUACCGGAUAGGAGCCAUUUUUAGUGUGAUGGUUGGUAAGUUUUUUCGGUGUAGGAUUAGCUCGCGGCCUAUCAGCUUGUUGGUGGGGUAAUGGCCUACCAAGGCGGCGACGGGUAGCCGGCCUGAGAGGGUGGACGGCCACAUUGGGACUGAGAGAAGGCCCAGGCUCCUACGGGAGGCAGCAGGGGGGAAUAUUGGACAAGGGGCGCAAGCCUGAUGCAGCGACGCCGCGGGGGGGAUGACGGGCUUCGGGUUGUAAAAUCCUUUCGCUAGGGACGAAGCUUUUUGUGACGGUACCGAGAUAAGAAGCACCGGCUAACUACGUG
rnacentral:rRNA from 1 species